rnacentral:rRNA from 1 species
GGGGAAUAUUGGACAAUGGGGGCAACCCUGAUCCAGCCAUGCCGCGUGUGUGAAGAAGGCUUUCGGGUUGUAAAGCACUUUCAGUGAGGAGGAAAAGUUGGUCGUUAAUACCGGCCAGCCUUGACGUUACUCACAGAAGAAGCACCGGCUAACUCCGUGCCAGCAGCCGCGGUAAUACGGAGGGUGCAAGCGUUAAUCGGAAUUACUGGGCGUAAAGCGCGCGUAGGUGGUUUGAUAAGCGAGAUGUGAAAGCCCCGGGCUUAACCUGGGAACGGCAUUUCGAACUGUCAGGCUAGAGUAUGGUAGAGGAGUGUGGAAUUUCCUGUGUAGCGGUGAAAUGCGUAGAUAUAGGAAGGAACACCAGUGGCGAAGGCGGCACUCUGGACCAAUACUGACACUGAGGUGCGAAAGCGUGGGGAGCAAACAGG